GACCUGAUGCUGACUGCGUUCUUACUUGACCUACCUGAGAGCGUUCUCUUCCCAUUGUGCUAUGUCUUCUUUAACCGUGCUGCUAGAUUUCUUUCCUACCCAAAGUUGCCCUGGUGAUGCUGCCUUUAAAACAGCUAAGUACUUUGGGAUGGAGUCCUACCUUCUGUCUUCCUCCCCAAGACUCCUGUCUCCCACACAGGAACCCAGAGCUUCAGAAGUUCCCUGCUAUUCCCUCCUUCACUCCUCCCCUUCCUCUCCUCCCUCCAUCCCUCCUUACCUCCCCUCCCCUCCCUCCUUCCUGUCACUACCCACAUAGACUAUUGGGCUGGAAAUACCCUCUUCACCCUGCAUGAACCAAGCACGUCUCCUUUAAGGCUUGGCUAGUACAUGGCCUUUCCCAAUACUCCUGCCGCUUCCUCCCCCUCCUUUCUGAGGCACGCACCCCUCCCUUGUUUCCUGGGUGUCUAAUACAUGGCUUCGAUGCAAAGGAGAGUGUGGCCUCUACAGCUGACUCACUGGAAUCAUCGACUUGGGCUUGAGUUAUGUCUUCAUCAUUUACUGAAUUCAUAUUCAUCCUAUGUUCAGAAAUACUAAUCUCAAUAAGCCUCUAUUUUAAAAAAUCUACACUAGAGAUAGUAUUUAUCACUUUACAUUUUUUUUUUCCUAAUUGCUGUUUGUCUUUUUGAGACAGGACCUCACUGUAUAACCCUGCUGGCCUUGGACUUUGGAUCUUCCUGUGUGGGUUUUCAGCAUGCUGAGAUUAUAGUUCGCUCUACAAAACCUCCCCUCGCUCUAUAGCUGGUGCUAGAACUCCGAGGUCACCAGAUCAGGCACAGCGGCAUCUGUCCUUGACUCCUCCAGCCCAGCUUGGCUACUACAGGAGCCCACAGAGUUUAAGAGUUUUCUCAGAAGCAGCUUUAGUGAAGGUGCUUUUCACAGGCUUUUGUCCCCCCCCCCC